GGACCCGCACAAGCGGUGGAGCAUGUGGUUUAAUUCGAUGCAACGCGAAAAACCUUACCUACUCUUGACAUACUUGGAAGCUCUUGUAAUGAGAGUGUGCCUUAUGGAACCAAGAUACAGGUGCUGCAUGGCUGUCGUCAGCUCGUGUCGUGAGAUGUUCCGUUAAGUCGGAUAACGAGCGCAACCCUUACCCUUAUUUGCCAGCGAUUCGGUCGGGAACUAUAAGGGGACUGCCGGUGAUAAACCGGAGGAAGGUGAGGACGACGUCAAGUCAUCAUGGCCCUUACGAGUAGGGCUACACACGUGCUACAAUGGUCGGUACAGAGAGCAGCCACUACGCGAGUAGAGCG
rnacentral:rRNA from 1 species